AAAUUGAAGAGUUUGAUCAUGGCUCAGAUUGAACGCUGGCGGCAGGCCUAACACAUGCAAGUCGAACGGUAACAGGAAGCAGCUUGCUGUUUUGCUGACGAGUGGCGGACGGGUGAGUAAUGUCUGGGAAACUGCCUGAUGGAGGGGGAUAACUACUGGAAACGGUGGCUAAUACCGCAUAACGUCGCAAGACCAAAGAGGGGGACCUUCGGGCCUCUUGCCAUCAGAUGUGCCCAGAUGGGAUUAGC
rnacentral:rRNA from 2 species